ensembl:lncRNA
AUGCUGACCUGCGGCAACCUCAAAGAGAAUCCGGCAAAAUGCGGAGGUACAACCUGGACUUUUACUGCUGCCGGUACCAGAACGAACCAGGAACUGGUCACACUGGGACGUGUCAAGGAAAUACGGCAGCUCAGAAUUUCACUGUCAGAGGACUGUUCUCUGCUGAUCCCGGAGGUCCGAGCUGAGGACGCCGGACUUUACGCCUGUCAGCAGUUCAGAUCAGGGGUCGAACAGCAGCCGGAUGCCCCCGUGUACCUGACCGUGGUUACCUUGACAGCGCAGGUCAAGGCGGACUAUGUCGAACUUACCUGCUGCGUGUUCACCUAUAAGACCUGCUCACACAAGGUGACGUGGUUCUUCAACGAAGUCCAAAUGAAAAAGGGGACUGGCCUGGUCCUCACGUCCCAGAAUUCCUGCAGCGCCACUGCGAACGUGAUGACCUGUCACGAGUAUUGGAAGAGGAAUACCCUCCUGACGUGUCAAGUCCAAUAUGAUCAAGUGGUUAAGACCUUUCCACUCAGGGCUCCAGGUGUUGCAUCAGCAGAAACAACAACAACUGUGUCGACCAGAACAGCCGACGACUCGGCGCCCCUCCGAGGUAAAUGUAGUUUCAUUCAUAUCAUAAAAUCAGAUGCUUCCCCUCACUGUUGCCUUAAAUCAAUUAAAUCAUCACAAUACCUUUAUUGUCACAACUUAUUAAUAAUAGUUUUCUGUGCUAACAGCAAAAAUCUGGUAUUCUCAUGUUUUUUUUUGCAGAUUUCUGGUGGUUUUUUAUCAUCAUUGCUGCCAUUUUUGUGGUGUUUUUAGUGGUUGUUGUGAUAGUUGUCAAAAAGAAACAAACUAAAGGUGAGACCAAGGAGCUUUUUACCAGGACGGGGGCAGUGUGUGUGUGUGUGUGUGUGUGUGUGUGUGUGUGUUUGUGUGUAGGGAGGGGGGGUUUCUGGUGGAAGAUAAAAGCAACUCUAUUUUCUCUUUCUAGCUGUUGAAAAGAACUGCAAUGAUGUAAGUUUCCCUUUCUAAAGUAUUCCGCUAUUUUAAGUGAUUAAAGCACAAAUGGAAGGCACACCUAAUCAUCAUUGUGUUAAGCUUUUGCGUAUUUGUAUUUAUGUGUUCGUUUUGUAUCAGCUGUUAAUUAACUGUCGUGACUUUUGACCAAAUAUGAACACACUCUUCUCACAGGGACGGAACACACACUCAGCAGUGACUCAUUCUUCCCCAGAAAUCAGCCAGGACAAGGUGAUGUCAAAGGUUCACGCCAGAAUUACACUCUCUAACUGUGUCACAAUGCUGGGGGAGGCAGAGGACAUUGACACUGCAGUUGGGAGCUGUGGACACAAGGUCUCUGGUGCCGGUUGUGGACGCCAGAAGUAAUGGAUGCUGUUGGGAUGAAAAGGAGUCCCAUCGGUCCAUUUUGGCCCAUGAAACUCCCAAAGAAGUUAAUGGUAACCAGCGGUGAGGUCUCUAAGGUUAGCUAGCUCAGUGACCUCAGAGAUCCACCCUGAGUACGUCAAGGCUCUGGACAUUGUGGGGCUGUCUUGGUUGACAUGUCUCUACAGCAUUGUGUGGGAACAUCUACUUUAUACCAGAGUACUGGAGAGGAGAAUCCAGCCCAUAGUUGAACCCUGGAUACAGGAGGAACACUGGACCAGCUCUAUGCCCUCCGUGGGGCACUUGAGAGUUGAUGUGACUUUGCUCAACCAGGCAAAAUGUGUUCUGUUGAUCUGGAGUGGGCAUUUGAAUGUGUCCCCUGUGGUGGAGCUUGGGUUGCACUGCCAACAGUAACUCAGACCCGUUUCUGGUGCAUGCUGGGCUCCGGCAGGGUUGCUCGUUGUCACCGGGUCAUCCCUGCUGUUUGCAGAUGAUGUUUCCUGUUGGAUUCAUCAAGCCGGGACCUUCAGGAUGUACUGGGGCAGUUUACAGCCAAGUGUGUAGCGGCUGAGAUGAGAAUCGCCACCUCCAAGUCCGGAGCCAUGGUUCUCGACCGGACAAGGGUGGCUUUCUGGUGGAGACGUCCUGCCUCAAGGGGUUUCUCGGGUUCAGGAGUGAGGGAAAGAUGGAGCGUGAGAUUGACAUGGUGUGAUGGGUGCAGCCCCUGCAGUUAUGUGGACGGUGUGUCGGACUGUUGUGGUGAAGAAAGAGCUGAGUUGAAAGGCAAAGCUAUGAGCCCACUCUCACCUGGAGUCAGAAACGUUGGACAGCGACCAAAAGGAAGAGACUGCAGAUGUAGAUGUAGAUGAUGCAGGUGUCUGAAAUGAGGUUCCUCUGUGAGGUGGCUGGGCGCUCCCUUGGGGGGAGAAGCUCAGUCACCUGAGACUAGCUCAGAGUAGAGCUUCUGCUCCUUUGCAUUGAGAAGAGGCAGCUCGGGCACCUGUUCCAGACGCCUCCGUCGGUGCUCCAAGCAUCUCCCAACAGGAGGAGACCCCAAGACCCAGGACAAGCUCUUGGCUGGCCACAUGUUUGAAUUUCUGUUGAUGAAAGCUUCAGUCAGACAGGAAAAGGUUUUAAAACUAAAUCUGUUUGCAGAGGGAUGCUGAAGAUCCUGUUUCUUACGCCACCAUCAUAUUCAGGUCCCCACCGAGAGCUCAGGUAAGGGUUUUCUAUUAAUUUAUAUAUUCCAGAUAUGCGUGUAUUCCAGAUCAAUGAUGCCUUCAGGACAGGAACUGAAACAACAUGGAGGUAUAUCAUGACAAAUUUAGAGGAAGUAAAGUUUUGCAACAGCUCCUGUAGUGACAUAAUGUUUCCUGACUCACAAAUACCGGU